AUUGAACGCUGGCGGCAGGCCUAACACAUGCAAGUCGAGCGGAGCGGCGGACGGGUGCGUAAUACCUAGGAAUCUGCCUGGUAGUGGGGGAUAACGUUAGGAAACGGACGCUAAUACCGCAUACUAUCAGAUGAGCCUAGGUCGGAUUAGCUAGUUGGUGAGGUAAUGGUACACCAGGGCUAAGAUCCGUAACUGGGCUGAGAGGAUGAUCAGUCACACUGGAACUGAGACACGGUCCAGACUCCUACGGGAGGCAGCAGUGGGGAAUAUUGGACAAUGGGCGAAAGCCUGCGGCAGCCAUGCCGCGUGUGUGAAGAAGGUCUUCGGAUUGUAAAGCACUUUAAGUUGGGAGGCGUUACCGACAGAAUAAGCACCGGCUAACUCUGUGCCAGCAGCCGCGGUAAUAC
rnacentral:rRNA from 1 species